rnacentral:rRNA from 1 species
ACAUGCAAGUCGAGGGGCAGCAUUGGAGUAGCAAUACUUCAGAUGGCGACCGGCGCACGGGUGAGUAACACGUAUCCAACCUGCCGCUUACUCGGGGAUAGCCUUUCGAAAGAAAGAUUAAUACCCGAUGGUAUAAAGAGUUCGCAUGUUCUCUUUAUUAAAGAAUUUCGCUAAGCGAUGGGGAUGCGUUCCAUUAGAUAGUUGGCGGGGUAACGCCCCACCAAGUCUACGAUGGAUAGGGGUUCUGAGAGGAAGGUCCCCCACAUUGGAACUGAGACACGGUCCAAACUCCUACGGGAGGCAGCAGUGAGGAAUAUUGGUCAAUGGACGAGAGUCUGAACCAGCCAAGUAGCGUGAAGGAUGACUGCCCUAUGGGUUGUAAACUUCUUUUAUAAGGGAAUAAAGUGAGGGACGUGUCCCUUUUUGUAUGUACCUUAUGAAUAAGGAUCGGCUAACUCCGUGCCAGCAGCCGCGGUAAUACGGAGGAUCCAAGCGUUAUCCGGAUUUAUUGGGUUUAAAGGGAGCGUAGGUUGACAUAUAAGUCAGCUUGUGAAAGUUUACGGCUCAACCGUGAAAUUGCAGUUGAUACUGUAUGUCUUGAGUGUACAAGAGGUGGGCGGAAUUCGUGGUGUAGCGGUGAAAUGCUUAGAUAUCACGAAGAACUCCAAUUGCGAAGGCAGCUCACUGGGGUACAACUGACACUGAGGCUCGAAAGUGUGGGUAUCAAACAGGAUUAGAUACCCUGGUAGUCCACACAGUAAUCGAUGAAUACUCGCUGUUUGCGAUAUACAGUAAGCGGCCAAGCGAAAGCAUUAAGUAUUCCACCUGGGGAGUACGCCGGCAACGGUGAAACUCAAAGGAAUUGACGGGGGCCCGCACAAGCGGAGGAACAUGUGGUUUAAUUCGAUGAUACGCGAGGAACCUUACCCGGGCUUGAAUUGCAGAGGAACAUAGUUGAAAGAUUAUGGCCGCAAGGUCUCUGUGAAGGUGCUGCAUGGUUGUCGUCAGCUCGUGCCGUGA